AUCUAGCUGAUUAGUCCCAAAUAGAACGAAAUCCAUGUCCUGGAU
rfam:Schistosoma mansoni strain Puerto Rico chromosome 5, complete genome